UACGGGGGGUGCGAGCGUUGUCCGGGAUUCACUGGGCGUAAAGGGCGCGUAGGCGGCUGACUCAGUCGGUUCUCUAAGUGCGGGGCUCACCCCCGUGACGGGGCCGGGACGGGUCGGCUGGGGCGCGGCAGAGGGAGACGGAAUGCCGGGUGUAGUGGUGAAAUGCGUAGAGAUCGGGAGGAACACCCGUGGCGAAGGCGGCCACCUGGGCCGACCCUGACGCUGAGGCGCGAAGGCGUGGGGAGCGAACGGG
rnacentral:rRNA from 1 species